AUCACAAGAUAUACAUUACCAUCCCCAAAUGUCCAGAUGAGGAAACACUGGACCAAAGCCAGGACCAAACACCAGCCAAGCGAACUCCAAACUGCAUGUCCAUGUCUGAUGUCAGAUCUCCAACUCCUUUCAUCUUUGUUGACGGCAACAAACUUCUUUGUCCUGGGCUGGUUCCGCUCCGUUAGCAGCUUUCCUCAGCAGGUAGCCCACGGCUCUGGCAUCUGGAACAUCUUGGAGUCUCCAAGGCAGCUUCAACUUCAUACCUUCUUAUUCCAGUGUCUGGAAUCCACACAUGGUCUAGCCUUCUCCGAAGGGCGUAGGUCAGCUCUCCAGAGCUGCCCUCUGUAGCACACUGGUUGACUCCACUUCGCUGCUCCUGCUGUUGGUGAUCACUCUAUGGUACUGGCAUCUCCAGUGCACCAGAGACUUCCACUGCAACUAGACUUCCCCAAUAGCCACUCACAGGCUCUCUUCAUGGUGCCAAGCCUCAGCUGCUCUCCAUGACCUUCUCAUACUCUCAAAACCAGUACCACCUGGGUGGCUCUUAAACAUUACCAAGUCCUGCAGCAUGAGGUACAACCUUGGCUAGAAAAGACUUCCCCAGAAGAUUUCACCUCCAUGAUACUGGUCUCUUCUUAAUCACCACUAAUUUUUACGCUUGGCUGUCCUGGAACUUGCUCUGUAGAUUGGCCUUGAACUCGGUGGUCUGUAUUGCUAUUUCUCCUGAAUGCUGAGAUUAAAAGUCUGUACCACCUUGCCU
rnacentral:lncRNA from 1 species